CCUACGGGAGGCAGCAGUGGGGAAUUUUGGGCAAUGGGCGAAAGCCUGACCCAGCCACGCCGCGUGAGGGAUGAAGUAUUUCGGUAUGUAAACCUCGCAAAGAAUAGGAAGAAUAAAUGACGGUACUAUUUAUAAGCUCCGGCUAACUACGUGCCAGCAGCCGCGGUAAUACGUAGGGAGCAAGCGUUGUUCGGAUUUACUGGGCGUAAAGGGCGCGUAGGCGGCCUGACAGGUCACUUGUGAAAUCUCCGAGCUUAACUCGGAACGGUCAAGUGAAACCAAUAGGCUAGAGUGCAGAAGGGGCAAUCGGAAUUCUUGGUGUAGCGGUGAAAUGCGUAGAUAUCAAGAGGAACACCUGAGGUGAAGACGGGUUACUGGGCUGACACUGACGCUGAGGCGCGAAAGCCAGGGGAGCAAACGGGAUUAGAUACCCCGGUAGUCCUGGCCCUAAACGAUGAAUACUUGGUGUCUGGAAUUAUUAUUGUUCCGGGUGCCGUCGCUAACGUUGAAGUAUUCCGCCUGGGGAGUACGCACGCAAGUGUGAAACUCAAAGGAAUUGACGG
rnacentral:rRNA from 1 species